AAAAAAGUGGAAAACGAAAUAACAACAAGCUUAUGUCGAGGGGUUGAGGGCGAGACUGAACACACAGAAAACUGGAAGGCGUUCCUGAACUUAGCACCGCUAUAGAGACAAACCCGACGACGAGUAACGGGCGGAUUAUCUCUGUAGACGGAAGAGCUGCUGAUUAGAAAAUAACUCAACCCAGUCAUCUUAUCAGUAAUCAUUUCAGCCAGAGAUAUCGCCAAUCACCCUCAUACUUUUCUCUCUUCUCCUUCUUAUCAGUAUACAAAGGAAAAUGGAAGUGGCAAAGGUAUAAAAAGCUUGGAAUCGGGAGAGUGUCGAUGUGCAAGUCUAUCGUUGAACCGACUUUUCCAUUACUCGCAAUCAAAGAUCGCGUCGAUAUCGAAAUCCAGCAGCAUUCUUGUCAUCACGACCGUUUGUUUCUCAGCUUCCCAACAUACUUUCCCUCAAGACUAUCACUUUUCCAAGAUCUCGACGGCUUACGUCUUCAUUCAAGGGUUGCAAAUGUAGUGGUGAAUCAGAGCCCAGCAUAUAAAGAGGUUUAUAUUCACAGGGGGUCAGGCCGAAUGCAUCAGCGAGCAGAGAAGAAUCCAUUUCUG
rnacentral:sRNA from 1 species